rnacentral:misc_RNA from 1 species
CACAAAGGGCUGAGAAAGAAGCAAACGUUGGGGUAAUAGAAAAUGGAGAAGUUCAUGAUGGAGAUGAUUCAGCUGAUAGCGAUCUUCACUCCAUUGAAUUAAACAUGGACAACAUCAGCAAAAGCUANNNNNNGUGAUAGUGAUGCUUUAGAUAAUCUGAAGCGGGUCUCAGUAGAUAGAGAUUUUAAGGGGAGAAAGUCUAUCUCUGAGAACAUUCAAUGGGGAAGCAUCUGUUUGCAAAGC